GCGGGCGUAGCUUAGUGGCAAAGCACCAGACUUCCAAUCUGGCAACGGGGGUUCGAUUCCCCCCGCCCGCU
rnacentral:tRNA from 1 species